UGAGAGCCUCUUGUUGAACCCCUUCCCCAGA
rnacentral:piRNA from 1 species